UAAGGAAGAAGAUGGACAGGGAAAGGGGGUUGUCACAACCCUCUUUCUCUCUCUGACCUCAAGCAACUGGAAACCCCUGCUGGGCUGGAGAUGUUAGUCUGCACAACCAGGGAUGAAACUGAACUAACAUGUGCGAAACACUCACUGAGACAUCUCUAAGGCAAACUACCAUGGAUCUACGGCCAGAAUGUAAUUCUGCCCCCAGCUGGUUAAGACAUCGCUGACAUAGGAGACUGAAAGUGAGAGAAUGUUGAACCUAUGAACUCUGCUACUUCUCAGAUGAUGACUACAAUUUGCAUGCAAAGUAUCAGCAGCUUUACUGUUCAGCACAGGUGCUAAUAGAUUCAAAGUUUUUUAUACAAGUAUAUACUGCACCCUCUUCAUUAUAGUACUAAUAGCAAAAAGGUGAAACUGUUUUCAGGAAACAGUUCAUUGAUUACUCCUACAGAACAUUACAAUUAAUGACAUUGGCCUGUGGAAAUUGCUGCACC
rnacentral:lncRNA from 1 species